CAGUCGCCGCGGGAAUACGAAGGGUGCAAGCGUUAAUCGGAAUUACUGGGCGUAAAGCGUGCGUAGGCGGUUUGUUAAGUCUGUUGUGAAAUCCCCGGGCUCAACCUGGGAAUGGCAAUGGAUACUGGCAAGCUAGAGUGUGUCAGAGGAUGGUGGAAUUCCCGGCGUAGCGGUGAAAUGCGUAGAGAUCGGGAGGAACAUCAGUGGCGAAGGCGGCCAUCUGGGACAACACUGACGCUGAGGCACGAAAGCGUGGGGAGCAAACAGGAUUAGAUAUCCCGGUAGUCCCUGUCUCUUAUAC
rnacentral:rRNA from 1 species